CACAGAUGUACACUUUGAGAUCUGCAGAGUGGGAGGAAUCUGCAGAAGACAUCAAUGCUAAGAACAGAGGGCCACCAUCUUCCCCGUUGCCCCAAAUAAAGGGGCCACCAGAGCCAACAUCCUCAACUCGCAUGUGGAAACAGGAGGGGAAGGUCCUAGAGACCAGGCCUCAGCAGCAGCGCCCACCACCAUGCUUUAGCAGUGACCUGCUCUGUGCCGGUUAUGGAGCCAGGUAUUUACACUUGCCAUUUUCUUCCACCCCAGUGCUGGUGAUCUUCUUGGCUGAUGGUGCCUAGAAGUCAGUCCCCUUUCCAGCUGACACUCAGAGUUACCUGGAAGCUGACUUACCACUUUUUCAACAGCUUCUUGGGCUCUCAGAUCCCUGCCCUGCAGCAAUAGUCUGUUCCUGAGGCAACAGUCCAUUCCUGAUAUUUUAACAAGCAGUUCAAAAGCUGAACUUUGGCAGACAUCCACACUUUCACUUCCAGAGGAAGAAGAUGAGUUUGAACAAAACAAAGAAGGAAGACACAAGGCAGCCUGCAGCAAUGGGGUGUCCACAGGUGAACGGGCAAUAGGAACCCCCGUGCUUCCUAACUCCUUAAUGUCUGGCUUCGGCCUUCAGUCUUCUAUUGGGUACUAGGGGGGCAGGGGAGUAUCUCUCACCCUCUCAUGGGCCUCGUAAUUAACUCAACAUGCAUUAGGCAACCAGCACAUGGAAGGUGAAACAGUUGUCAGUGAAAGGAACAAAGGUGGAACUACGAUUCUUUUAGCUCAGUGACCCGAUGAAGCAAGUCAGCUGUCUCACAUAUAUUUCUUUUGAACCUGCAGGGCCCAUUAUAAUAAAAGUUAGACCCUCAAUUCUUCAUCACCAACAAUGUGGGAGACCAUUUCCCUUCCUUCAAACCUACAGAGCAACUAUCCAAAGCUUCCCUCUGAACCCCCAACCCUGCGCCCCAUUCUUUCAUCAGCCCCUCUGCUGGCUCAUCCAAGAGUCAGGAAGGCCCUAGACUGAAGACUCCUAGACUGGCGUCCACAGCCUGAAUGAAGGAGACCUUCCUAAUUUGUCUUCUUCCAUGAUGGCCGUGUGCAGAUGAGGAUGGUGUGUUUUAACACUACCCUCAAAGACACAGCAGCCCCUGGUUCACCCCUGGGAAACAGUCACACGCUGUGCCUCUUGUCACACCUUAAGUGUGCUCUUGCCCCUGCAUUUCUAAGUCAAGUCUCGGGAGCCACUUUCCAUGGGAAUGACUCGCCUGGUCAAUGGAAAGAACGUGGAUCGAGGGGACAGGAAAUGCAGAUCCUGCUCCUGGCUCUGUGGAGUAACUGAGUACCCUGGGCAAGUCAUUCAGUGCCUGCAUCAGUCACAUCACCUGUAAAACAGUCAGAAAGCCAUCAGCCCUCACUCAUGGAAUGAUGAUGAGGGACACAAGAAACUCAUUUGUUUAUAACUGCUUUGAUAAGCUUAAAGCCCCACAGAAUAGUAACAGCAACAAUAUUCCCUGAGUACAUAUGACUGAUUUCUCCUCAUCUCCUUCUCUGAACCCCAUGAGAUCCGUGCCAGCGUUAUUUCCAUUUUUGCCACUGAGGAAAUAGACUCAGGUUUUCAAUGUAGCACAUAGCCAGUAAGUGGUAGAACCAGGUCUCCAACUCAAGGUUUCAUACUCUGAAGCCAGAGUUUUUAAAAUAUGUUUCUUAUAUAUAAGGGUAGCUAACACUUACCGAAUGUUUGCUAUGGGCCAGCUUGGUUCUACAAAUUUCCCAAGUAUUAAUUCAUUUACCUCCAAAACUCUAGACACAGAUACAUUAUUGUUCCCAUUUUACAGAUAAGGGAACAAAGAGGUGAUAUAACUCAACUAGGUCUGUACAGUUCACAAGUGCCAAAGCCAGACAUUUGGUCAGCGCUCUUAUCCUCUCUCCCCAUCUCAUGUGUGUGUGUGUGUGUGUGUGUGUGUGUGUGUGUAAAAAGAGAGAGAAUAUAUACAUAUAUAGAGAGAGA
ensembl:lncRNA